GAUGAACGCUGGCGGCGUGCCUAAUACAUGCAAGUCGAGCGAACAGACGAGGAGCUUGCUCCUCUGACGUUAGCGGCGGACGGGUGAGUAACACGUGGAUAACCUACCUAUAAGACUGGGAUAACUUCGGGAAACCGGAGCUAAGACCGGAUAAUAUAUUGAACCGCAUGGUUCAAUAGUGAAAGACGGUUUUGCUGUCACUUAUAGAUGGAUCCGCGCCGCAUUAGCUAGUUGGUAAGGUAACGGCUUACCAAGGCAACGAUGCGUAGCCGACCUGAGAGGGUGAUCGGCCACACUGGAACUGAGACACGGUCCAGACUCCUACGGGAGGCAGCAGUAGGGAAUCUUCCGCAAUGGGCGGAAGCCUGCCGGAGCAACGCCGCGUGAGUGAUGAAGGUCUUCGGAUCGUAAAACUCUGUUAUUAGGGAAGAACAAAUGUGUAAGUAACUAUGCACGUCUUGACGGUACCUAGUCAGAAAGCCACGGCUAACUACGUG
rnacentral:rRNA from 1 species